UUGGAGGGCAAGUCUGGUGCCAGCAGCCGCGGUAAUUCCAGCUCCAAUAGCGUAUAUUAAAGUUGUUGCAGUUAAAAAGCUCGUAGUUGAAUUUCGGGAUCAAUGUUUCGGUCAUGCCGUUGGUAUGUACUGAUAUUAUUGGUUUCUCACCUUCUAAAGAACCGUAAUGCCAUUAAUUUGGUGUCACGGGGAAUUAGGACUGUUACCUUGAAAAAAUUAGAGUGUUUAAAGCAGGCUCACGCUUGAAUACAUUAGCAUGGAAUAAUGAAAUAGGACAUCCGAUUCUAUUUUGUUGGUUUCUAGGAUCGAUGUAAUGAUUAAUAGGGAUAGUUGGGGGCAUUAGUAUUCAAUUGUCAGAGGUGAAAUUCUUGGAUUUAUUGAAGACUAACUACUGCGAAAGCAUUUGCCAAGGAUGUUUUCAUUAAUCAAGAACGAAAGUUAGGGGAUCGAAGACGAUCAGAUACCGUCGUAGUCUUAACCAUAAACUAUGCCGACUAGGGAUCGGAUGAUGUUAAUUUUUUAAUGACUCAUUCGGCACCUUACGGGAAACCAAAG
rnacentral:rRNA from 1 species